AACGAACGCUGGCGGCAGGCUUAACACAUGCAAGUCGAACGCCCCGCAAGGGGAGUGGCAGACGGGUGAGUAACGCGUGGGAAUCUACCCAGUUCUACGGAACAACUGAGGGAAACUUCAGCUAAUACCGUAUACGCCCUACGGGGGAAAGAUUUAUCGGAAUUGGAUGAGCCCGCGUUGGAUUAGCUAGUUGGUGAGGUAACGGCUCACCAAGGCGACGAUCCAUAGCUGGUCUGAGAGGAUGAUCAGCCACACUGGGACUGAGACACGGCCCAGACUCCUACGGGAGGCAGCAGUGGGGAAUAUUGGACAAUGGGCGCAAGCCUGAUCCAGCCAUGCCGCGUGAGUGAUGGAGGCCUUAGGGUUGUAAAGCUCUUUCAGUGGGGACGAUAAUGACGGUACCCACAGAAGAAGCCCCGGCUAACCUCGUGCCAGCCGCCGCAGUAACAC
rnacentral:rRNA from 1 species